UACGUGAGGGGCAAGCGUUGUCCGGAUUUAUUGGGCGUAAAGAGCGUGUAGGCGGCCAGACAGGUCCGUUGUGAAACUCGAGGCUGCAACCAUCCGAGACGCCGAUGGAAACCGUCUGGCUAGAGUCCGGAAGAGGAGGAGUGGGAAUUCCCGGUGAUUCAGCGGUGGAAAUGACGCAGAUAUCGGGAAGAACGACCCGUGGCUAAGGCGGCUUGCUGGGCAUGGUCUGACGCUGAGGCGCGAAGCGUGGGGAGCGAACAGG
rnacentral:rRNA from 1 species